GCGAUCAUAUCAGCACUAAUGCACCGGAUCCCAUCUGAACUCCGAAGUUAAGCGUGGAUGGGCGAGAGUAGUACUAGGAUGGGUGACCCCUUGGGAAGUCCUCGUGUUGCACCCC
rnacentral:rRNA from 1 species